ensembl:lncRNA
GUUGCUCUGUUAAAUAGUGUUAGAUACGUAAUGCUUCAGACUAUGAAAUUGGCCUGGAACAGAGAAUUUGUUCAGUUUUCUCUCCCUGAUAGCCGCAUAAAUGCAGAUAAUCAGUGAUGAAAAUGAACUUACUUUGAUUUCUGAAGGCUCCUUUCAUUUCGUUUUAUUUCCAUCGUGAGCGCUGACCUGUAUGUGACCUGUUUAAUAUGGUGUAUGCAGAUAAGAUUACUACCAGGCAGAAGGGUGGAUUUUGUUUUCUCAUGCAGAUGAACACAGAAGCCUGUCAAAACAGACAUAAAAUAUGAAUUACAUACCAGAGAUCUGGGGCUGGAGUUUGUUUAUAUUUAAACACGUAUGUGCAUUCUUGGCAUGAUGUCACAAUUAUCUGGGUAAGAUGAUGCAUCAUGGGAAAACCCCGGGUGUCUGGAUAAAAAUGAAAAAUGAGAUGCUUACAAGCAUAAGGCAGAAAUUAACUUCAUCAAGCUUAUUUAAUUACAUAAGAAUUAUUAGUUCAAUCAUUCAAAUACACCGUGGUCCAAAAACUCUCUAGACUCUCUAGACUGCUCUUAAAAAUAAGCUGUGAUGCAUCACCUGAGAUCUGCUCUGGUGCUCCUCAGGGACUACAGGUGUUCACUCAUACGACAUAAAGCUCAGAGGAGAACAGCUGGUCAGUGAUCAGCAGCAGAGCUCAGUCCCACCAACAUGCCUGGCAUACACACUAACCCCUCUGACGUGACUGACAACUCUGCCCUAGCAACCGCUUGGCACGUUGCCGGGCUGCCCAGGGUUGCCAGGGAAAGUGUUCCCAUAGCAACACGUUUAACCAUUUUAUUUGCCACCUUGAAAUGUAGCGAAGGUUUUGCAAAGCGGCAGAAAGGGAUUACUGCUGAAAUUUGCCCAGGAAGAAAAUGUGUGGAAAGGUUUCGACUUAACACCUGGACAUUUUGGGAAAAUUGGAUUCCUUCCAUAUACUGUGCUAGAUCAGUGGUCGAUCAUAUGCACAGAAAGCCUUUUCUUUUCCCUUUGUUCCGGUCAAUUUGGAUCAUUUGCCAUAGCACCCCACCACCAUCAUCAACAGGCACACAGGCAUCACCCUCUCCCUCCCUUUUCCCUUCUCUCUCUCCCUCUCUUUCACACUCACACUCCCCAUCUCUUUACUUUGCAGCAAAAUGGUGCAUAAUGGGAGCAGGAAUAGGGUUGAAAAGACAAUGGAGUAAAUUAGCAAUAUUUCUUAAUGGGGGAACACUCCACAAGACCAUGAACAUCACAGAUGUAUAUUGCUUUUGUCUGGAGUCACUGCAAGAUCAAGCUGAACUAGCCUUACCUAUGUACAACAGAUAAGAAAAUUCUGUCAUCAUUUACUCACUCUCAUGUCCUUCCAAUCCUGUAUGACUUUAUUUUUUUCUGUGGAAUAUAAAAGAAGAUAUUUUGAAGAAUGUUGGUAUCCAAACAUUUCGGUUUUCACUGACAUUGGUUUCUAUUGUAUUUUUUUGUCCAUAUAGUGUAAUCAGUUGGAACUGAUUAUUGGUCACCAAUAGACCUAAGUCUGGGUACUGCCAUAUUAAAAUUUUGACAAAUGAGGCUCUGGCAGAUAGAAGUACUAUGGCAUGCUUUUAAUGGAUUGAACUGUUGUUUAACAACAUACCAAUUGUGCAGCUGCUGAAACAUAUUUACAAAAAAAAAAAAAAAAAAAAAAUCACACAAAAACCCCUUAAAACAGUUUUUAAAGUUGUGAGUUGGUAACAAUUAUGUUAUCUAUGACCUAUAGUGCCUACAAUUGUAUAAGUCUUUCCCGACCUCACAAUAAUUAUGAUUUCAUCUAAAUUCAGUGUGACAUCUAACCUGACUAUGUUCUUUCAAAUAUCUCCUUUUAUGUUCCACGUAAAAAAGAAAGUCAUGCAGGUUUGGAAAGAGGGUGAGUGAAUGAGUUUUAAUUUUUUGGGAGUACUAUCCCUUUAAGAAUCCUACACGAGCCUACAAUGAACUAGAGAAAUGUUGAGUUUUGUUAUUUGUUUAUAAAUGUUGAUAUGUUAAUUGUAACACAAUAAAUCACUACCAUUAUGUUUACUGCCA